rnacentral:misc_RNA from 1 species
GAUGAAGAACGUAGCGAAAUGCGAUAAGUAGUGUGAAUUGCAGAAUUCAGUGAAUCAUCGAAUCUUUGAACGCACAUUGCGCCCGCUAGUAUUCUGGCGGGCAUGCCUGUCCGAGCGUCAUUUCAACCCAUCAAGCUUAGCGCUUGUGUUGGAGCCCUGCGGCCGCCGCAGCCUCCUAAAAUCAGUGGCGGGCUCGCUAUCACGCUGAGUGCAGUAGUAUUCUUCUCACUCCUGUGGUGUAGCGGGUAACCAGCCGUAAACCCCCCCAUCUAUAAAGGUUGACCUCGGAUCAGGUAGGAAUACCCGCUGAACUUAAGCAUAUCAAAAGCGGAGA